UGAAGCGCUCCAUCCACUGAACGA
rnacentral:misc_RNA from 1 species